AUCAUUAUUGAAUUUUAAACUGAGUGGGGUUGUUGCUGGCCUAUAUGGGCAUGUGCACACCUCAUUUUAUCCAACCUUUACCCCACUGUGCACUUUCUCAUGGGCUGAAUAUUUGCAAAGUUGUUCUUAAUUGAGCAAUGGAAGCGAUGUUUGUUCCAUGUGUUUUUAAUACAAUACACAUAUUUGUUAUAGAAUGUAAACAUGCAGUGCAUUUAAUGCAUAUAAUAUAACUUUCAGCAACGGAUCUCUUGGCUCUCGCAUCGAUGAAGAACGCAGCGAAAUGCGAUAAGUAAUGUGAAUUGCAGAAUUCAGUGAAUCAUCGAAUCUUUGAACGCACCUUGCGCUCCUUGGUAUUCCGAGGAGCAUGCCUGUUUGAGUGUCAUGGUAAAUUCUCACUUCAUUUAUGUUUUGCAUAUUUUGAAGUGGAUGUGGAGGAUUGUGCUGGCAUCUUGCAAAUGGUUGUUCUGUUUUCAAGAAAAUCUGGCUCCUCUGAAAUGCAUUAGCUUGAAUGUUGACCAAGCAUAAUAUCUCAGCGUGAUAAUUUGUCUGCGUUGUGAAUGUUUUGGUCUAUAUGUUAAUAUAGCAUUUAAGCUUCCAAUGGUCUUUUUAUUAAGACAGCAAUCAUAACUGAUAAUAGUUUAUGAACAUUGACCUCAAAUCAGGUAGGACUACCCGCUGAACUUAAGCAUAUCAAUAAGCGGAGGAAAAGAAACUAACAAGGAUUCCCCUAGUAACUGCGAGUGAAGCGGGAAAAGCUCAAAUUUAAAAUCUGGCAGCUUUGGCUGUCCGAGUUGUAGUCUGGAGAAGCAUUUUCUGUGUUGGACCAUGUACAAGUCUCCUGGAAUAGAGCAUCAUAGAGGGUGAGAAUCCCGUCUUUGACAUGGACUGCCAAUGCUUUGUGAUGUGCUCUCAAAGAGUCGAGUUGUUUGGGAAUGCAGCUCAAAAUGGGUGGUAAAUUCCAUCUAAAGCUAAAUAUUGGCGAGAGACCGAUAGCGAACAAGUACCGUGAGGGAAAGAUGAAAAGCACUUUGGAAAGAGAGUUAAAUAGUACGUGAAAUUGCUGAAAGGGAAACACUUGAAGUCAGUCGCAUGAAUCAAAACUCAGCCUGGCAUUUUUGUCUGGUGUAUUUUUUGGUUUAUGGGCCAGCAUCAAUUUUGACUGCUGGAAAAAGGCCAGGGGAAUGUGGCACCUUUUGGUGUGUUAUAGCCCUUGGUUGCAUACAGUGGUUGGGAUUGAGGAUUUCAGCAUGCCUUUAUGGAAGGGGUUCGCCCACAUUCAUGCUUAGGAUGCUGGCGUAAUGGCUUUAAAUGACCCGUCUUGAAACACGGACCAAGGAGUCCAACAUGCCUGCAAGUGUUUGGGUGGAAAACCCGAGCGCGCAAUGAAAGUGAAAGUUGGGAUCCCUGUCAUGGGAAGCACCGACGCCCGGACCAGACCUUUUGUGAUGGAUCCGCGGUAGAGCAUGUAUGUUGGGACCCGAAAGAUGGUGAACUAUGCCUGAAUAGGGUGAAGCCAGAGGAAACUCUGGUGGAGGCUCGUAGCGAUUCUGACGUGCAAAUCGAUCGUCAAAUUUGGGUAUAGGGGCGAAAGACUAAUCGAACCAUCUAGUAGCUGGUUCCUGCCGAAGUUUCCCUCAGGAUAGCAGAAACUCAUGUCAGAUUUAUGUGGUAAAGCGAAUGAUUAGAGGCCUUGGGGUUGAAACAACCUUAACCUAUUCUCAAACUUUAAAUAUGUAAGAACGAGCCGUCACUUAA
rnacentral:rRNA from 1 species